rnacentral:lncRNA from 1 species
AAAAACCAAACAUAACAUUAGGCCCAAAACAAAUUGGCCCGUAAAAGAGAAAAACUAAAGAAAUCAUUAAAGCCACCGCCCUUUUGCCCAAUCUUUAAUGGCGAUGUCAGUUACCAAGGGGAUCUUAUCUCUAAGGCUGUUGAUCUGUUUCAUUUUGAAAACUCUCCCCCUUCCUUCCUUCUCUUCAUUUUUUUCAAUCCGGCUCUUGUACACUCUCACUUCUCAUCAUGCCUUCUGCAUAGCUUGGGGUACUUUCAACCAAGUACAUCUCUUCUCUCCUCUUUAGCGAUUCUGUUGCUAAAAUGUGGGCUAGACCAUUCACUGAUCUCAGGAUAUAUUCAAAUCUGAACUUUCUGGCUCUGGACUUCAUCUCGUGAAUAUCAUGUAUGUAAGCCCCUAUUUGCGAUUUAUCUAGCUUUACAUCCUUGCAUUUCUUUACUAUCGAUAACGAAUCACCUUCUAUAAUAGUUUCUGGUCGUUGCAUUGCGAGACCAGUCUGGGCUGCCCUUCGACAAGCGAUAGCUUUCGCGAUGAAAGGAGAAGCCACCCCUCUAUGAAAUUCUGUACAAGAUAUGAAAACGUGGCCCUUGCUGUCUCUGACCACAAUCCCUGACGCCGAUUAGUGGUUCCUCUCGUCAUAAGCCCCGUCAAAAUUUAUUUUUACGACCUGCCCAGAUGGGUGAUUCCAUUUAACAUUAACCUUAGGCUCAUUAUAGGUAUUUUUACCAUCCCCAUCAAGUUCAUGUAAAAAAAUUUAAAUAUAUAUUGUUAUCUCCUGACCACAUCUAUUUGUGUUUUCAUGUAUCCGAGCGUUACGAUCUCCCCAAAUGGCCCAAAGUGCACACAAAAGAUUCUACACUGAUCUCGAGAGAGAAAAUCAAAAACUUUGGUGAGCCACUGCUCAAAUUCUAAGUUUCUCCACUGUAUAAAAUUAAAGACAAAUAAUGCUUCCCACACUGCCACUAACACAGAACAUUUUCGAAAUAGGUGGUCCAUUGUUUCUGGUUCCACACCACAUCGAGGGCAUGUUGAGUUAUUUGCUACUCUCCUAAGUAACAUAUUUGCCCGAGUACGUAGAAAGUUCCAGAUGAUUUUUCAGAUUGUAAUUUUAAUCUUAGUAGGUAGAUCUAUGCAGCGAGUUUUCUGUAAAAAUCCCUAUAGAUGUUUUGUACAUGGUAAGCUCUAGGAUCACCACUUUGUAAUAGUUUGUAGGAACACUCUGAACUGAAAACUCUCCCGAAGGUUCUCCAUUCCAAGCCAAAAAUUCUGUUUGAGGUUCUAUCACCAAGGGGAUAUGAAGGAUCAAUUCAGCAACAUCUUCUGGGAAGGUAUAAACUAUCAAUUCUCUAUUCCAGAUUCUUUCAUUAUUAUUGAUUAGCUCAACAACUGUAUCAAAUCACAAAUCAACAUUAAUAGUCGAUAAUCUUAAAUUCCUAUAAUCUGGAAUCCAUAUAUCAUUUCUAAUUGAAAUACUCGUACCCGUACCAACCUUCCAAAUAAGACCUUUCUCCAAUAAACCCUUAGCCGCCCAUAGACUACGCCAUGCAUAUGAACUCUGAUUCCCCAAACGCGAAUUAAGAAAAUCGUUUUCUGGAAAAUACUUUGCUUUUAAAACUUGCGCUACUAAUAAAUUUGAAUUAAGCAGAAGUCUCCAUCCUUGUUUUUCCAAAAGAGCUAUAUUGAACUGAGCCAUAUUUCUGAACCACAAUCCUCCUUCGUUUUUAGGUCGACACAAGUAUCUCCAUUGACACUAAUGAAUUCCUCUCUUCCCAAACCCUCUUUGCCAUCAAAACUUAUCAAAAAUGCUUUCAAACAUCCCGCAUAGAGAUUUAGGUAAAAGAAAACAAGACAUAGAAUAGGUUGGUAUAGCUUGUAAUACUGAUUUAAUAAAUACCUCAUUUCCCUCUUGAGACAACAGUUUGGUACUCCAGCCUUCCAUACGCACAGAUACUCUAUCUAAUAAAUUCUGAAAAGACUCUUUUUUCCUUCUGCCCACCACAUUAGGAAGUCUUAGAUACUUUUUGGGAGUUGUUGAUAUCCUUACUCCUAGCAAUGAAGACAUUUCCAUUUUUUAUCUUCUGUAGUAUUCGAGCUAUAAAAAAAAGUUCACACAUUGACCCGAACAACUUUCAUUUUCCUUGAGUAUGUCUUUCAAAACCAUCGCUCCUUUUUCUGUUGCUUCACCAAACAUCAUGCAAUCAUCUGCAAAUAAUAAAUGAGUUAUCUCUGGCCCUCUCCUCGCUUUUAUGCCCUUCAAUAGACCUUCAUUCUUUACAAUUCUCAAUAAUGAUGAGAGGCCCUAACUGCAUAUAAGAAAAAAGAAACAGACUCAGUGGGUUACCUUGUUGUAGUCCCCUAGUAGGUUGAAAAAGUCUACCCCUCCUAUUAAUAUUAAUCGCAUAAGAAGUUGUUGACAUACACCUCAUUAUGAGCCCCACCCAUUCGCUUGCAAACCCCAUUUUUAACUUCACUUCUUUUAUAAAAUUUUACUCAACUCUGUCAUAUGCCUUACUCAUGUCAAGUUUCAUCGCCAUAAGUCCUUUUUUCCUUAUACACUUUUGAUGGAAUGUGUGUAGAAUUUCAUAAGCUAAAAUCACAUUGUCUGAAAUAAGUCACCCUGGGACAAAAGCACUUUGUACCUUGUCGAUACAUCUGCCAAUGACCUCUUGCAAGCGGAUUGUUAUAGUUUUUACCACAAUUUUAUACAUGACUGUGCACAGACUAAUGGGCCUGAAAUUCACAAGUUUAGUGGGCCUUGGAAGUUUUGGGAUAAGAACAAUGUCUGUAUUAUUAAAUGAUGCAACCUCUUUAUUGUUAUUCAAAAUCCUCAAGCAAUAAUCAACGACAUUCUUCCCUACUAUAUGCCUGUACUUUUAAAAAAACAUUGUUGGAAAACCAUCCUAUCUAGGUGCUUUAGUGGGUCUUAUCCUUUUUAAUGUUGUUCAAAUCUCUUCUUCCCUGAAAGGAGAUGAUAAAACUUCAUUUGCCUCGUGAGAAAUGCUACCUUCAAUGCCUGUUAACAAAUAACUUGAAUCUCCAAUUGCCUUUGAUGUGAAGAGCUCUUGAAAAACCCAAGUGGCAUUCUCAUUUAUCCCUGACUCGUCCGUAAUUUCCCUCUUGUCAUCCAAUACCAACUUAGAAAUUGUGUUUUCUCUCCUUCGAGCUGAAGAACACUUGUGAAAACAGGCCGAAUUCUUAUCCGCAAAUUGGAGCCAAUUUACUCUGGCUCUUUGCUUCCAAUACAAUUUAUCUUUAUCAAUCUCCAUAUUGAGGUGAAUUUUCGUGUCAAUAAUCCGUGCCAAUGUUUCAUCAUCCCUUUCCUUUUCCAACCGACUUUCCAGCUCCUUGGUUAACUUCCAUUUUCCUUCUGAUUUUGCUUGCCUAUUUUUCUAAUCGAAAUUGUCGUCUUUCUAGCUUCUCAAUUAACAGUCCUAAACUAGACUCCCAAGAUUCCUUGAUUACUUGUUCGAUUGUCUCCUCCAUGGUCCACCAGGCCUUAAAAUGAAAUCUUGGACUUCUUUUGGCAAUAGUAUUACUUUCUGUAUUAAGGAGGAGGGAGCAGUGAUCUGAUGUUGAAUAAGGAAGAUGUUGAAUACUAACCAUUGGAAAUAAGGUUAUCCAUUUUUCAUUUACGACCCCUCUUUCAAACCUCUCCCUUAUGUUUAUUUCUGGCAUAUUUCCUCUUUCACAUGUGAACCAAACCCCCGAGUACCUAAUAUCUAUUAAUUGACACUUUUCCAAAACCUCCUUACUUGCCUCUAUCCUCUUCUGAUUUCUUUGUUCUCCACCAUUUUUCUCGAAAGAAUACAAAAUUUCGUUGAAAUCACCACCUACAAGCCAAUGAUGAUUAUGUUCUUGGCCUAAUCUUCUAAGCAGAUCCCAUGCAUUAUUCUUAUUUUUUAGAUAUGGUGAGCCAUAGAACCUCGUAAAUCUCCACUCUUCUUGGUUAUCGUUCUCUUUAAUUAGAAAAUCAAUAAGCAACUUCGAAAAUCUCUGCACAGCUGCCUUAACAUCACCCUUCUAUGCUAAACACAAUCCUCCUGAGUCCCCUCUACUUCUACUUCAAUUCCACUCAAAACCACAGCUCUUCCUAACCUUUUCCAUACAUUUUUUGUUUAAUUUCGUCUCCAUUAAAAAGGCCGUAUGGGGAUUAUGCUGCUUGAGUAAAUGUCGCAGCCUCCGUAUCGCUAGUGAACUCCCCAACCCACAGACAUUCCAACAUAAGUUUUUCAUUGUGUCUGGUCGGCUGACCUGUUAGUAGCCGCAGAUCCUAAAUUGCUUGGUACAACAUUUUGUUCUGGAUUUUCCGUCAUUGCACCCCUUUGAACCUCUCCUUGAUUCACCAUAUGUUCCACCUUUAACCUUUUUACUCCAUCUCCAUAUAACACUUCUGCAACGUUUCUGCCAUCAGCAACUAGAAAUUUCCUCUUCUCCCCCCCUCACACUUUUGCACCUCCGAUUGUCAGGUUGAUUCACUCGAAUUAACCUUUUCCAACUAGACUUCUUGGAUGCUACUGAGAAUUUACCCAUCUCCAUAUUACCAUCAUUCACCACGCCAAUCUCUGACUUAUUAAAAUCUGUCUCCUGUUCUUGUAACCCUUCCGACCAACUUGCCAAUUUUCUUCCACCUUUUACCUUUCUUUGCGAAGCUAUAGGUUCUGCCAUCAUGUCAGUAUCACCAAGUUCAUUUACCAAGUGACUUGUGUAAGAAACUUGAGUACCCAACAUUUUUACAUAAGCAUUUAAUUUCAUACUCUCUUUCCCUACCAAGGUUGAUUCGGCUUUCAUUGCUAUAGAGUAUGGCGGAUCAAUACUGACUUUAUUUUUUUCUGUAGGGCUUAACAUCAAGCAAUCAUUGAGACUAUGCCUUAUUCUACCACACCCAAAACAGAAUAUUGGUAAUUUCUCAUAUUUGAAAGAAAUCCACGAUUUAACACUGUUAUCACUUAAAACAAAAAUCCCUCUCCUAAGUGGUUUUUGCACAUCCAAGUUAACUCUAUGUCUACAAUUAACACCAUUAAUUUUAGACCUAAUUAUUCCUCUAAAAGUACCACCAAUAGCAUGCAUUAAAUACUUUCUAUCAAAUUCUAGUAAACACGUACUAAUUUUGAUCUAUAACGGUGAAGAAAUAAGACGAAUCUGAUCUCGCUCAAUCGCUUUGUUCAGACGAUCAAAUAAAAUAAUAUUCUUAUGAAAUAACCAGGGUCUUCCUUCCAUAACUGUCUCCAAAUCUUCUUCUAAAUCAAAAACAAUUAAGAAUAGAUUUUGUCCUACCAAUUGAAUCUCAAACUUUUUCUUUGUUUUCCAUAUUUUUUUCAUUUGUGCCCUAAAGCUUUCUGGAUUGAAAGACUUUUUUGUCCAAACUGAACAUAUCAAAGUCGGAUUGUCAUUUGGCACCACCUUUGAACUGUUUACUGAUAAUUGAAUGAGUUCAUUUGCUAGCAAGGAUAUCUCCUCACUACUCUCCCUCUUUUCGCCACCACCCUCCUUCAUCCCAAGCUGUAGUAGUUACCUCACUCUCUAGGACUCUAUGGAGAGCACUCUUGGUUUUCAAGGACAUAGUAUAUUCUUAGUUACGCUAUCUUGUAUAAUAUUCUGAUUAUGACUAUCAUGUUUGUAAAAAUAAAACCAAAACUAAAAAUAAUGUCCCAAAAAAAAUUAAAAUUCCAAAAAGUCCAAUAAAUCCAAAACAUACUAAACCAAUAAUGUGCAAAUCGAGCUCCAAAGUCAUCGUUCAAUCCUAAGCUUAAAGAUCUCCUGAAACGAAACAAAACAGAUGAGUGAGCUUUACGCUCAGUAUGUGGCUUGGCCCACAUAUAGUAUUUACUUAUAAAGUUUGCAGAUACAUAUAAUCAAAUUGAAAUUUUCAUAUCAUAUAACAUAUUAGAGCCAUAUCAUAUAACAUAUCAACGCACAUACUACCCUCCAUCUGUUAUACACCAACUUCAUUCAACCAAUCACACCAAUUAGGACUACAAUAGUCCAUCCAUCCAAUCACACCAAUAUGUGGCGGUAUGCCACUCAUAAAUAUGUAGUUGAGCUGCUUGACAAAAAUUACGGUUUAACUUCCAUAAUUGCAGCAAAAACUACCAAAUUACAUUUCUUCCAUCAAAACAUAACCCAUCCCAAUAUGUAUACAUAAACAUGAAAACAUACAUACGUAUCUCAUAAGUUGUAUGGCAUGCAUAUAUGUAUCUCAUAACUUGUAUGGCAUGCAUACCCCAAACAUACAUAUUUACAAAGCAUAUCAUAUCACAUUUUAUACAUAACUUACUUAACAUGCUUUCUAAGCUUACCCAUGAGAAAAUGUACCAAAUCAUACACUUUUCCUGGCCUACAAAAUGUCCAUUGAUCCAAUUUUUGAGUCCCUUAAUCGAACCCUAAUUAGGCCUUAAAAUUGGCCAAAAUUGCCCAUACGGCCUACCACACAGUCAUGUGGUGCACACGGUCAUGUGACCCUAGGCAGUUUCAAAAAUAUCCUCUAUUUUGUAAUUUUUUCGAGUUUCAGUCGAAGUUUUGGGUUAGUUUUACACACCUGACAAUAUUUUUUAUUAGCCACACAAACGAGAACUCACGAAUCCUACAAUCAUUCAUCAAAUUACAUCAAGUAACCAUCAAAGACCCAUCCAACGUCACAUUCCUUUAUCAAAAUUUCAGUCCCUAAAGUGAAGUUCGAGCACUUACCACUUGGAAAGCAACGUUCAAAACAAGAAUUACUCCGCUAGUGGGAUUUGAUUCUCACACCCUUUGCCAAAACAAAAGCACUUAACACUAUGUAAAAAGAAAACUAAACACCAAGAACUCCUAUCUUGUCCAAGAAUAGAUCCAAUCUAAAAUAACAGAAAAAUACUUAACAAACCUACACCAUGCUUGAACCACGAUCGAAGGAAAAAACUCACACACGAACAUGGAAAACAAAUGGAACAGCAACAAAAAAAAACAGUAGACAAGAAAUAACUUCUAAUGAUAGAAAGAAAAGGAGAAAAAAGAGAAUAGAGAGAAACCAAAAGAAAGAAAAAAAAAUGUGAAGGGAAAGGGGUUGGACUGUUGGGAGUGGGAGCAAACUUAGGGAUAGUUUUUUUUUAUAUAAUUCAAAAUAAGAUAAAAUUAAAUGAAAUAAAAUAUUUUAUCAAAAAUCCCAUCAUACAAAAUCCUAUCAGUUUUAUUUAGAAUUUGAAUAUAACCCAACUUCUAACACAUGGCAAGAAACAAAAGAAAAUUCUCAUGUUGCACACACAAAGACUCAAACACAAGGCCUAAGAGUAAACUAACACUAUACUACUGAACCAACAAGCUCAUCCUAUUAUAAUUUGCCCAGAAAUAAGGUUUAAGUCAAAUAAUCAAGGAUAAGAAUAGAACCAAAAAUUAACAAAAUUUUUAAAGAAAUGACUCAACCCCCAAAUCUUAUGCACACAAUCACAACCCUCAACCACUAAACCAAAUUAAAUUAUUUAAUAUAAUUUAGCAUUCCAAACUUAAGAAAAUUGGGGUGUUACAAUUUGACAUGUUCAUUUAUUAUUAAAUGAUAUUUGACACAUUUACUAUUAUUUGAUUUUAAUAAUAUUUGUACAAUUAUGAAUUUUUUUUAUCAUGAUAUUUUGAAAUAUUAUGUCCUAUGCAAUAAGGUAAUAAAGUAUGGGUUAGUAUUUUGUACUCUAACAAUGUAUUUUUUAAUUCCACAAGCAGUCCUAAAAGUUUAUCAUGUCUCUUUUUUAAAAUCUUUAUUUUUAAUAUUUUACUAUAGGACACUUGUCAACCCUUAACCUUAUUUGUGGAGUUUAAAAUAUUCACUGAUAAUGUACCAAAUAUUAUUUGUUAAAGUAUUGGUUCUUUGUAGAAGAAAAUUUGACUAAUGACAAAUCAUUUUAUUUAACUAUUUAACAUUUUACUAUUGAUUGUUUAUCACUUUUUUUUUGUUAUUUUUAAAAUGUUAUUUUAUACUCUUAAUUAUUAUCAAAGUUAGUUAACUUUUUAUUCUAAAUUAAACCAAUUCUUAUUCAAUUAGUAUAAAUAUAUUUUUUGAUAUUAUAAAAAUAUAUUAUUUAAUAAAUUAAAAAAUAAAUACCUAAAAUACAUUGAAAACUGAUAAAAUUAAAAAAACAAAACGCAAUUUAAUGAAAAUAGCAAGAUCGCAAAACAGAUUUUAUCUAAACCUAAUCCCAAUUUCAUCAUGAAAUUUUUAAUGGAAACCAGACCUAUCCUACCUCAUUCCAAAUUCCUAUGGGGUCAGGGUGGGGGAGAACUUGAUUAUUUAGGCUUUUGGUUGUUCCUUAAUCCGAUUUUGAGCGUGUACUAAAGUUAAUCGGGGAUGUUCAUCUUCAAUAUGUGUGAGAUGUCUUACUUGUAUGAAUAUCUCAACUAGGAGAAUUAAUGGUAUAAAACUAUGAUUUCACGUUAUUUCUAUUCAUUUCUAAUAGGAGAAUGACAAAUUAAAUUUUUUUAUCUAAAAUACUAAAAAUUAGGAGAAAAUUUUGAUUUUCUUUUCUCUUAUUAAGAAGAGAUAUAGAUAAUAUAAAAUUACAGUUUCAUACAAUCCUUUCUCAUGUGCUACCACAGACAAGAUAACACAGAAAUAACAAUGGGAAAAACUGGUUGACUUCCAAACCCAUGUAUUUAAGUCAAUUGGACACCACUUCUUUUUUUCUUUGGUUUGGUUAAUCUUUGAACAUUUCAAACAAAUAAGCUGUUUUAAACUUCGCUUUUAAAGUUUCAGAAUAACACGUUAAGAGUGCUAAAUUCAGGCCAUAAUUGGCGGAGCCAUUGACGUACCUUAGCCCUUAUAGCUGGCAUUUGUCUUUUUUUAUCAAUACAUCAGCGGUUGAGAUAUAUAUGAGAGUUUUAAUCACUGCUCCCAACACGAGCAUUUGAACCCGAAUUUAAUCUAGUUAGUCUAUUUGGCGAAGAUGACAUCCAAUAAAUCUGGGUUCAAAUUUAAGCAUUUAGCUGAGUUUGCACCAGGACCAUGGUCUGGCUGCAAAACUCUCAUGCAUUGCCGGGAAUAAAUCGAAAAACCCGAAACAGCAUUCAUCAUUUUCAUCCAUACUAACUAUCAAUCCGCACCGGCAACUACGAAUCCGAAGCAUAUAACUCGAAGAAGCUUGCUAUUUGCUGCUGCAAUCCCUUUUACAAGCACAUCUUUGUGUAUUCAUUUCAAAAAGUAACAUAAUAGUAAAUUGGAAUUGAAAACUUUAUAUUGAAUUAUCAUAUUAUUGAUACACAGAUUACUUGUAGAAGUAUACAAUAAACUCAACUCUUUUUUAUCUCUUAAUUCUAGCUUUAGUCCAUGGAAACCAAUCCAAACUCUGUAUAUGCACUAAAAAAAACAUUAUAAUUUGAAAAAAACUAGGUUGUCUCUUUGUUGUUGUUGUUUUUAACUUAUUUGUUCACCAAUCAAAUCCAAGCCAACUACUAGAAAAGUCAAGCCUUGAAACAACAAGAAAUAGAAAUGAACCCCAUGUGCAGACAAUAAGCUUCUUGCAGCAGCAGUGAGUAGAAGAAAAGCCAGUACCAGCUCUUUCCUAUAGAGUCGAUUUCUCUUCUUCAAAGGGGUGAUUUCUUCUUGUUUUUUGAGUUUAUUCAAUGUCUCCAACCCAGAUUCGGAGUGUCUCCUCGUGAUCUUUUCUUCAUUCAAUGAUUUCGAUUCCCUUUCAGCUAAGGCCACUAAGUCGGAUUCUGAAGAUCGACCUGUUUUCUUCGUUACUACCCAUUCGUAGGCGCUCCCGAGCUGGAAUAGUCCCGAGAUCAUGGCAUUAAAUUUGGUUACCGACAUUGUGUUUUCGAACAGAAGGUACGGGACUAAGAAAGGGAAGGAUUUCGGGGCCGGGAGGAUGUUUAGGAAUGACAUGAAAAUUGGGAUAUAACAGAUAACCCAAAGGGGAAGUUCAGCUUCAGGAAUGAACAUUGUUAAUGGAAGUAUGAUGCAGAACAAUGUGAAGGAGUAAAAUGGAAGUAUAAGCUUCCUUAGUAGGAAAAACAGGAAUAUCAAAUUGGCCUUCUUCGAUACCGAUAUCUGCAUGGAUCAAACACAAAUCAUUAUACUCAAUUGCAUGUGCAUUUUAAAGGAUUCAGAUCAUCAUAAAACAAAUCAAACCUUGGAUGUUACAAUUGCAGGAAGACAUAACCGAAACAACUGCAUCGGACCUGAAUGCCAUCGGUGCUGCUGUUUCUUGUAAGCUUCAUAAGACUCAGGCAACUCACAAAGCACUUUAACAUCAUUGAGGAAGAUGAAUUUCCAUCCAUUUAAGUGUGCUCGAACCGCGA